UAGCUGGUUGCCUGGGAAUGAAUAGGAGUUCAGCCCUUUAAUAUAUUCCCGUAUCACAAUUGCUCUUAUACUCAUAUAGACACCGGAAACUUAAAGGAGUUAGUCGAAAGGGGUACAGCCCUUUUGAUAGAAGAAACAACUUUUACAGGUGAUUUAGGAUCAUACAAAUUAAGGACCUCAAACUAAGUGGGCUUAAAAGCAGCCAUCUUAAAAGAAAGCGUUCCAGCUCCAACUAAUACUCGUCCUCCGAUACCGAUAAAUUUAUCCUUUCCCCUACCCCCUACCAGGCUCUCUUAUGCCCCCAUAAGAGUAAUCAUGCUAAAAUGAGUAAUAAGAAGAAUAUAAUUCUUCUCCUAGCACAUGUGUAAGUUGGAACGGACCCCUACCAACUGUUAAUCGACCCCAACCCCAGAGGGCCAUAAGCCAGAAAUACAAGAAAUACGCUUAUACCACAAUCGUUAACCCAACACAGGCGUGCACUAAGGAAAGACUAAAAGAAAGGGAAGGAACUCGGCAAACCCAAGCCUCGCCUGUUUACCAAAAACAUCGCCUCUCGACCACUAAACAUGAGAGGUCCAGCCUGCCCUGUGACAUAGUUUAACGGCUGCGGUAUUUUGACCGUGCAAAGGUAGCGUAAUCACUUGUCUUUUAAAUGGAGACCUGUAUGAAUGGCAUCACGAGGGCUUAGCUGUCUCCCCUCUCCAGUCAAUGAACUUGACCUCCCCGUGCAGAGGCGGGGAUUAGUACAUAAGACGAGAAGACCCUGUGGAGCUUUAGAUCUAGAAUAAACCAUGUAAAACAAGCUGUAAUACCAGCAUAAACCAAUUGGUACCUAUUCAAAUGUCUUUGGUUGGGGCAACCGCGGAGAAAAAUUUAACCUCCAUGUGGACCGGGGGUACUACCCCUAAAACUCAGAACCACCAUUCCAAGAAACAGAACUUCUGACCCUUUGAUCCGGUAUAACCGCUCAACGAACCGAGUUACCCCAGGGAUAACAGCGCAAUCCCCUCUUAGAGACCCUAUCAACGAGGGGGUUU
rnacentral:rRNA from 1 species